UUUUAUUUGAACCGAAUCAAGCAAUAUUAUAGAUGCUAAAGCGUAUAUAUUUUUUUGUCAACCCUUUACGGUUUAUUUAUGUACUCAAUAGGAUUACGGGAUAUGAUACUUUUCAUCCAGUAAAUAUUACUAAUAAAGUUACUGUAGGUAUUUUCAGCGGACAAAGCCGCGGCCAGGUUUUAUUAACUUUAUAAAACGAUUCCAUAAAAGGUGGAAAUGUGAACCUAUAUAAUAGCAUUACUGCCGCGUAUUUACCCAAUAAGAGUGCUCGAUACAUACUAGACAUCACUGUGACUCACACUCAAACAAGUUUUUUUAAUAAGUAACAACUAAUCUGUAGAAUAGUCAAACAGGUUUUUAAAAAAUCUGUAGGAAAUUGGAAUUUUCCAGGGUGACUAAUUUUGGGACGUACUUAAAUUAUUAUUGAACAAAUUCCCAUUCUAAAAGUAGAUCAAAAAUUAAUUAUGAGACUUGGGGGUCGAUUCUGUUAAACAUUGAGAAAAUAUCAUUUUUUUCAAAGUA